UACGAAGGGUGCAAGCGUUACUCGGAAUUACUGGGCGUAAAGCGUGCGUAGGUGGUUUGUUAAGUCUGAUGUGAAAGCCCCCGGCUCAACUGGGGAGGGUCAUUCGAUACUGAUCGACUGGAAGGCAGGAGAGGGAAGCGGAAUUCCCGGUGUAGUGGUGAAAUGCGUAGAUAUCGGGAGGAACACCAGUGGCGAAGGCGGCUUCCUGGCCUGUUCUUGACGCUGAGGCGCGAAAGCUAGGGGAGCAAACGGG
rnacentral:rRNA from 1 species